GUUCACUCUGCGCUGUGUCUUCUCAUUUAGAUGCUCACUUUAGGACUAUGCCCUGCGGGCAGCUUCUGCACUUCCUGCAGAAAAACACCAUCAUCGCCACCGUCUCAGGGGUGGCCAUCCUCAUGGCCAUCGUGCUGUUGCUGCUUGGGUUGGCCUCAUACAUCAGGAAGAAACAGCCAUCAUCUCCUCUGGCAAACACGACAUAUAAUAUUUUUAUGAUGGAUGGAAAGACAUGGUGGCACAAUUCUGAAGAAAAAAAUUUCACAAAACAUGCAAAGAAACAGAAACAGUUGAAGAGCAGCUCCUGUGUCUAAGCCAGGUCCUGGGGCCAUCAAACCAGGACUUGAAACCACAAUGCGAGGACAUUCUCCAUCUGCGCACCACAGGGAGGCAAUUCCAUUUCUGCCCGGGAGGUGUAUUCUACAAAAACGUCUGCUUCCCAUCCCAAUUUGAAUGGACCAAGAAAAACUGCUUUACCAUAGGACACUUGUGGCAAUAUGGCACCAAUGGCUGGCGUCGGCGAACCCGACAGACUAUGGAUUUAUCAUUUAAUAAAGCAUUGAUUCAUUUUUUCAGUCAUUCAUUGAACAGAUAUUAAUAGACCACCUCACAUGCUGACAAUAUCAAAAUACAAUGAGGAAACUAACAGUGACCCAGGCAUGCAUUCUUCCCCGAGCAAGAUCACAGUCCAGAGUGUGAGCACAACCAUACUAAAUAGCUUUUAUGGGAGGUGGGAGUACACAAAGUAUUAUAUCUGCAAAGAAACUGCUAAGAAUUGUG
rnacentral:lncRNA from 1 species